rnacentral:tRNA from 1 species
GCCGGUGUGGAGAAGGGGUCUAUCUCGCCACGCUCAUAACGUGGAGAUCGCGGGUUCAAAUCCCGCCACCGCA